UGUAUUUCGCAGAGGCAAUAUUGUAGCCUAUGAGGUUCAUCUGAGGUGCGAUCAUUGCUGGUUGAAAACUGCUCAAUUCAAUCAGAAUGGGAUCAAUGUCUAAAUAAUAAUUUGCAUGAAAUAAAUCCUGAUGU